AAGUUCAUUAUAUGUGCCAUGAAACAGCAGAAACAUUUGAUUAACCGCAAUUGCAUUGUCCUUAGGCUUGAGUUUGCCAGUUGGCGGCACAAAUGAAAGACAUGAUGAUGAGCUGCAGAGGAGAAUGAUUAGAGAUGUGUCUCCCAAUAAUAUCUCCGUGAAGAGGGCCUUUGCACUUCUCCAGUCAAUGGAGUCCAAGUUGAUCCGAGCCGCUAAAGAAGCACAACUGGAAACCAAUGAAGUGGAAGCUGAGGCAGCUAUUAAAAAACUUGCAGAUGUUUAAUUGGCCCUGAACGGACCCGAACAGCUCAAAACCUGCCUGACGCUGGGCGACCAGCCCGCCAACCAGACGUCCGCCAACGUGACGCUGGGCGACCAGCCCGCCAACCAGACGUCCGCCAACGUGACGCUGGGCGACCAGCCCGCCAACCA